rnacentral:rRNA from 1 species
UACAGAGGGUGCAAGGGUUACUCGGAAUUACUGGGCGUAAAGCGAACGUAGGCGGCUAUGUAAGUCAGGUGUGAAAUCCCCGGGCUCAACCUGGGAACUGCACUUGGGACUGCAUGGCUAGAGUAUGGGAGAGGAAGGCGGAAUUCCCGGUGUAGCGGUGAAAUGCGUAGAUAUCGGGAGGAACAUCAGUGGCGAAGGCGGCCUUCUGGCCCAAUACUGACGCUCAGGUGCGAAAGCGUGGGGAGCAAACAGG